rnacentral:lncRNA from 1 species
GUAAUUCUCUGCUGUGUUUUCCCUCAGUAAAUUUGGGUUGCUAACUGGUUGGGACAGUGCUGUCAGAUGCUGGGAGCUGCUGUUUCCAUUACCUGGGAGCAGGGACAGUCCAGCAGCCCUGCGUCCAUCUUACAAGAGCCCGCUGGGCUUCAUCUCAGCUGGAGACACACUUUGUGACUCAUGCAUCCUCACUGCUGCUGUUAUGGAAGUGACGGCAGGGCAUCUGAGUGUGCCUCCAGCUACGUUUACAGGCAGCAGAACUCCCACCAGUAGGUGGCGGCAAAGGUCCUCGUCAAUCGUUUGCGCCUCGACAGUUCAACCAAACGAGGAAGACGCAGCAGUCAGAGGGUGGAGAAGUGUUACGACAUGGCAGACAGUGUGGGACCUCAGCAGCAGGUGCGAGGAGGUCGAGAUUCGCAAAGUGGAUUUUGUUUGGUCUUGAGGAUUUUCUUCUCAACAUGAAACUGGCAAAGGUCCGUUCUCUGACAGCGGCACGAUUUUGCUUGCACUGUGGGAUGAGGUAGUAGGUUGUAUAGUUUUAGUGUCACACCCGCACUGGGAGAUAACUAUUCAACCUACUGUCUUUCUCAAAGUGACAAAGGACACGUCGUGAGCAUCCCUGCUUGGUUUUGAAGGCCUGCUUACCGUCAUUAACACUCGACUGGAUCAAGGUUCCACAUGUUUUGGUAUUGAUUACAUGAUUUUACUCAAAUUGCUCAUGCAGGAUGAGGUAGUAGAUUGUAUAGUUGAAGGGUAGUGAUUUUGCCCUGUUUGGAAGAUAACUAUACAAUCUAUUGCCUUCCCUGAGGAGUGGUAUCUCUUCUGUUUCAUUAAAAUAAUUUACAUUUGGUUUUGGAUCAUUAGUUAACACUACUCUCAGAUCAGAGGGGACCCAAAAGUCAGCAAUAGAUGGGCUUUAAUUUUCUGAAUUAUGUUGUGUUUUUCUACCCCAGAUCACUAGAGAUAUAUUUUGGUGGAUGAAUGUGUCAGACGUGUUUCAUAAAAAAUGUCAGUGAUCAGACCUUUUUUUAGUGGAUAUUAUGAUAUUUAUAUUUUGUCUGUGUGAAAGUUGAUGCAUGCAUUGUUUCUGUGAGCGUCAUGCAGGAAUCUGUUUACAUUAAAUCUGUUUACAUUAAAAGCAAGUGUUGGCUCUCAACAUCAGCAUCAUAAUUUGCUUGUCACUUUCUGACCAACCAUUUGAAAUGUCCAAUAAUGUCAUGAUAUUUUCCAUGUCUGCUCAUGCUAUUCUCUGUCCUUAUUAGCCAUUGGGUUACCAUGUUCUUGUCCCCUCGUGCUAUGGAAGCCCUGAGAAAUUGUGUGUUGCUGUAAUGAGUUAUAUAGGAACAACGUGAUAAUGAAUAAACGGU